CUUGGACUCCCUCUCUGUCCUUCCACUCCAGACCUGCGCAAUCCUUGAACAUUUUCCAUGUUCUCUUCCCUCCUCCAGAGGGAGGAGGGUAUAUGCCAAAGCCAGAGCCUCGUCCCUCUCAUCUGUCCUCAUUCUCCUCAACCUGUCAGCGGCAUUUGCCAUCGUGAACCACCAGAUCCUCCUGCCAUUCUCGCCGUACUUGGCAUUGCUGAAUCUGCCCUAUCCUGGUUCACAUCCUACCUGAAGAAUCGCAUCAGGUAACAUGGAAUGGCUCCUUGUCAUAACCCUGCACUCUUGACACUGGUGUCCCUCAAGGCUCUGUACUGGGACCCCCUCUGUUCUCCCUCUAUACCAUCACAUCACAGUUUUUCCUAUCACUGCUACGCUGACGACACUCAGCUAUUCCUAUUUCCCUUACUCUGACCCUGAUUGCAACAUGGAAAGCGGAAUGUCUGGCAGACAUCAGCACUUGGAUGACUGUCAAUCACCUGAGGCUUAACCUCAACAAGUCUGAGCUACUCCUAAUGCCAGGGAAAGAUUGCCCACACAUGGACUUACUGUCACUGUCGAGAACAUUACUGCAUCUCCUUCUCUAACUGCCAGAAACCUCGGUGUGGUACUGGACAUUCAGUUAUGCUGCACCGCAAACAUCACCGCAGUGGCCCGAUCCUGCAGAUUUGCCCUUUACAACAUCCGCAGGAUCCGGCCCUUCCUCACGAGGAAAGCAGCUCAGCUCCUGGUCGAAGCGCUCAUCAUCUCCUGCCGCGACUACUGCAACUCGCUCCUGGCUGAACACCCUGCCUCCAAGAUUAAACCUUUGCAGCGUAUCCAGAACGCUGCAGCGCGCCUCGUGUUCAACCUACCCAAGUCCUCCCAUUUGACCCCCCCCUCUUCCAGGAACUUCACUGGCUUCCUGUAGUAACUCGCAGAUUCAAGAUGAUGGUACUGGCAUACAAGGUGGUCAAUGGAACUGGCCCUGCCUACCUCCAAGCGUUGGUCAAACCACAUCGCAGCUCGGGCGCUCCACUCAAGCUACCUCAGUCGGCUACCGCCAUUGCUAACAGCAAGCAAAGGUCGAUCAUCAAAGUCCCAACUCUUCUCUGUUUUGGCACCGCUGUGGUGGAACGAGAUCCCUGCCGAUGUCAGGACCGCAGAGUCGCUCACCAGCUUCCGCAAAAGACUCAAAACUCACCUGUUCAGAGUUCACCUAGACCUAUGCGAUAUUUAUUCAUAGUACUUAAUUGUGUAGCAUCUAAGUCACCUGGUGUCGACUAAGAUUGAACAAACAAACAUCGGUUGAGACUAACGUCGGUUCAGACUAACGCCGGUUCAGACUAACGCCGGUUCAGACUAACGCCGGUUCAGACUAACGCCGGUUCAGACUAACGCCGGUUCAGACUAACGCCGGUUCAGACUUGUGUCUCUGGUCCCUUUUGUUCAAUAGUCUUAGAGAACGUUUGACCUAAAGCCGUGUGUAGUGGUGGAGGAGCUCCAUCAGAACGUGAACCUUGGGCCUCACCGUGUUCCAGCAGACUGCCGGCUGCCUUGGGGCCCUCAGCCUCCAGCAGACAGCCGGUUGCCUUGGGGCCCUCAGCCUCCAGCAGACAGGUCUCUGCCUUGGGGCCCUCAGCUUCCAGCAGACAGGUUUCUGCCUUGGGGCCCUCAGCCUCCAGCAGAGAGCCGGUUGCCUUGGGGCCCUCAGCCUCCAGCAGAGAGCCGGUUGCCUUGGGGCCCUCAGCCUCCAGCAGAGAGCCGGUUGCCUUGGGGCCCUCAGCCUCCAGCAGAGAGCCGGCUGCCUUGGGGCCCUCAGCCUCCAGCAGGGCGAACUCCGCCCUGAGCCCGUUGGGGAGGGCUGCUGGCCCCGCCCCCUGCCCCCCCUGGUCGGCAACCUUCCCCUGGGGGGUGAGGUCCAGGAGUGGGCUCAGAGGAUGGUCCUCCCAGGAGGGCGGGGGCAGGCUUUCCCCUGUUGGGGGGCUGGGCGACUGCGCCUCCUUCAGAGUCUCAGGCACUUCCUGCAUGCCUGCCUGGGGGGUCCCCACGCCCCCUACUGCCUGAUGCUGCUCGGCGGCGGCCAUUUUAUCCUCUGGAUCCUCCCCCUGUACCUCCUCUCCCUCCUUGCUGCUCUCCCACGCUGCUGCUGGGGCCGCUGGCUCUCGGGGCGGACCACGUGGUCUGGGGGG
ensembl:lncRNA